GGUGGUAUAGUAUAGUGGAUAGUACAACACGUUGUGGACUAUACAAUACCGUGUAGACCUGGGUUCGAUUCCCAGUACCGCCA